ensembl:snoRNA
UGUGCCAUGAUGAGUGGCGCAGGGGUACGGACCUCAGCCGGUGAUGGGGGCUGAGCGCUGCUGCAGACUCUGUCAGAGGACGAGUGGUUCACUGACGGACUGCGGCAGCGCGACACAGACGCCUGACUGAGCUCA